rnacentral:rRNA from 1 species
CCUACGGGAGGCAGCAGUGGGGAAUCUUGCGCAAUGGGCGAAAGCCUGACGCAGCGACGCCGCGUGAGGGGAGAAGGCCUUCGGGUUGUAAACCUCUUUCAGGAGGGACGAAGCCACUCGGGUUAAUAGCCCAGAGGGUGACGGUACCUCAAGAAGAAGCCCCGGCUAACUACGUGCCAGCAGCCGCGGUAAU